rnacentral:rRNA from 1 species
AUUGAACGCUGGCGGCAGGCCUAACACAUGCAAGUCGAACGAGUGGCGGACGGGUGAGUAAUGUCUGGGAAAAUGCCCGAUGGAGGGGGAUACCUACUGGAAACGGUAGCUAAUACCGCAUACCAUCUGAUGUGCCCAGAUGGGAUUAGCUAGUAGGUGGGGUAACGGCUCACCUAGGCGACGAUCCCUAGCUGGUCUGAGAGGAUGACCAGCCACACUGGACCUGAGACACGGGCAAGACUCCUACGGGAGGCAGCAGUGGGGAAUAUUGCACAAUGGGCGCAAGCCUGAUGCAGCCAUGCCGCGUGUAUGAAGAAGGCCUUCGGGUUGUAAAGUACUUUCAGCGAGGAGGCGGUACUCGCAGAAGAAGCACCGGCUAACUCCGUGCCAGCAGCCGCGGUAAUAC